AUUGAACGCUGGCGGCAGGCUUAACACAUGCAAGUCGAGCGGGGGAAGGUAGCUUGCUACUGGACCUAGCGGCGGACGGGUGAGUAAUGCUUAGGAAUCUGCCUAUUAGUGGGGGACAACAUCUCGAAAGGGAUGCUAAUACCGCAUACGUCCUACGGGAGAAAGCAGGGGAUCUUCGGACCUUGCGCUAAUAGAUGAGCCUAAGUCGGAUUAGCUAGUUGGUGGGGUAAAGGCCUACCAAGGCGACGAUCUGUAGCGGGUCUGAGAGGAUGAUCCGCCACACUGGGACUGGGACACGGCCCAGACUCCUACGGGAGGUAGCAGUGGGGAAUAUUGGACAAUGGGGGGAACCCUGAUCCAGCCAUGCCGCGUGUGUGAAGAAGGCCUUAUGGUUGUAAAGCACUUUAAGCGAGGAGGAGGCUACUUUAGUUAAUACCUAGAGAUAGUGGACGUUACUCGCAGAAUAAGCACCGGCUAACUCUGUGCCAGCCGCCGCCGUAA
rnacentral:rRNA from 1 species